GCGGAGGGAUCAUUACAGAGUUGCAAAACUCCCACAAACCAUCGCGAAUCUUACCCGUACGGUUGCCUCGGCGCUGGCGGUCCGGAAGGCCCUCGGGCCCCCGGAUCCUCGGGUCUCCCGCUCGCGGGAGGCUGCCCGCCGGAGUGCCGAAACCAAACUCUUGAUAUUUUAUGUCUCUCUGAGUAAACUUUUAAAUAAGUCAAAACUUUCAACAACGGAUCUCUUGGUUCUGGCAUCGAUGAAGAACGCAGCGAAAUGCGAUAAGUAAUGUGAAUUGCAGAAUUCAGUGAAUCAUCGAAUCUUUGAACGCACAUUGCGCUCGCCAGUAUUCUGGCGAGCAUGCCUGUUCGAGCGUCAUUUCAACCAUCAAGCUCUGCUUGCGUUGGGGAUCCGCGGCUGCCCGCGGUCCCUCAAAAACAGUGGCGGGCUCGCUAGUCACACCGAGCGUAGUAACUCUACAUCGCUAUGGUCGUGCGGCGGGUUCUUGCCGUAAAACCCCCCAAUUUCUAAGGUUGACCUCGGAUCAGGUAGGAAUACCCGCUGAACUUAAGCAUAUCAAUAAGCGGAGGA
rnacentral:rRNA from 1 species